rnacentral:rRNA from 1 species
UACAGAGGUCUCAAGCGUUGUUCGGAUUCAUUGGGCGUAAAGGGUGCGUAGGCGGCGCGGUAAGUCGGGUGUGAAAUCUUGGGGCUUAACUCCGAAACUGCAUUCGAUACUGCCGUGCUUGAGGACUGGAGAGGAGACUGGAAUUUACGGUGUAGCGGUGAAAUGCGUAGAUAUCGUAAGGAAGACCAGUGGCGAAGGCGGGUCUCUGGACAGUUCCUGACGCUGAGGCACGAAGGUCAGGGGAGCAAACGGG